rnacentral:rRNA from 1 species
AGAGUUUGAUCCUGGCUCAGGAUGAACGCUGGCGGCGUGCCUAAUACAAGCAAGUCGAGCGAACCACUUCGGUGGUGAGCGGCGAACGGGUGAGUAACACGUAGGUGAUCUGCCCAUCAGACGGGGACAACGAUUGGAAACGAUCGCUAAUACCGGAUAGGACGAAAGUUUAAAGGUGCUUCUGGCACCGCUGAUGGAUGAGCCUGCGGCGCAUUAGCUAGUUGGUAGGGUAAAGGCCUACCAAGGCGACGAUGCGUAGCCGACCUGAGAGGGUGAACGGCCACACUGGGACUGAGACACGGCCCAGACUCCUACGGGAGGCAGCAGUAGGGAAUCUUCGGCAAUGGGCGAAAGCCUGACCGAGCAACGCCGCGUGAAUGAUGAAGGCCUUCGGGUUGUAAAAUUCUGUUAUAAGGGAAGAACGACUUUAGUAGGAAAUGGCUAGAGUGUGACGGUACCUUAUGAGAAAGCCACGGCUAACUACGUG